AGGGUUUGAUCAUGGCUCAGAUUGAACGCUGGCGGCAUGCCUUACACAUGCAAGUCGAACGGCAGCACGGGUGCUUGCACCUGGUGGCGAGUGGCGAACGGGUGAGUAAUACAUCGGAACGUACCUUAUCGUGGGGGAUAACGCAGCGAAAGCUGUGCUAAUACCGCAUACGCCCUGAGGGGGAAAGCGGGGGAUCGAAAGACCUCGCGCGAUUAGAGCGGCCGAUGCCUGAUUAGCUUGUUGGUGGGGUAAAAGCCCACCAAGGCGACGAUCAGUAGCUGGUCUGAGAGGACGAUCAGCCACACUGGGACUGAGACACGGCCCAGACUCCUACGGGAGGCAGCAGUGGGGAAUUUUGGACAAUGGGGGAAACCCUGAUCCAGCAAUGCCGCGUGAGUGAAGAAGGCCUUCGGGUUGUAAAGCUCUUUUGUCAGGGAAGAAACACCGGCUCUAACACAGUCCGGGAAUGACGGUACCUGAAGAAUAAGCACCGGCUAACUACGUGCCAGCAGCCGCGGUAAUACGUAGGGUGCGAGCGUUAAUCGGAAUUACUGGGCGUAAAGCGUGCGCAGGCGGUUAUACAAGACAGGCGUGAAAUCCCCGGGCUUAACCUGGGAAUGGCGCCUGUGACUGUAUAGCUAGAGUGUGUCAGAGGGGGGUAGAAUUCCACGUGUAGCAGUGAAAUGCGUAGAUAUGUGGAGGAAUACCAAUGGCGAAGGCAGCCCCCUGGGAUAACACUGACGCUCAUGCACGAAAGCGUGGGGAGCAAACAGGAUUAGAUACCCUGGUAGUCCACGCCCUAAACGAUGCUGACUAGUUGUUCGGGAUUUACAUCCUGAGUAACGUAGCUAACGCGUGAAGUCAGCCGCCUGGGGAGUACGGUCGCAAGAUUAAAACUCAAAGGAAUUGACGGGGACCCGCACAAGCGGUGGAUGAUGUGGAUUAAUUCGAUGCAACGCGAAAAACCUUACCUACCCUUGACAUGUGACUAACGAAGUAGAGAUACAUUAGGUGCUCGUAAGAGAAAGUCAACA
rnacentral:rRNA from 1 species